UACAGAGGGUGCGAGCGUUAAUCGGAAUUACUGGGCGUAAAGCGCGCGUAGGCGGCUUUGCAAGUCGGGUGUGAAAUCCCCAGGCUUAACCUGGGAACUGCAUUCGAGACUGCAUUGCUAGAGUAUGGGAGAGGGCAGUGGAAUUUCCGGUGUAGCGGUGAAAUGCGUAGAGAUGUGGAGGAACACCAGUGGCGAAGGCGACUCUUUGGCCUGUAACUGACGCUGAGGCGCGAAAGCGUGGGGAGCAAACAGG
rnacentral:rRNA from 1 species